GAAAAAAUUUCUAGGCCUCACAUCAAACAAAACAAUAUACAACAAAGCAGGUAUGGUUUCCUUGGAUUAGCCUCAAAGGUAAUAUGGACUAUGAAAAUCAAAAUGAAAACCAAGAAAGAACUCGCUGGAGUUUUUCUAAUCUUUAUUUGAAACUGCUGCCAUGUAUUGGUAUUUGUGUGGUGCUUGUGUCUGAGAUGGCAGGUCCUAGCUGGCAGCUAGGGGACAAUGUUCCACAGCAUCUCACGAAGAUGGGCUAACCUGGUACAGCCACAGCAGCAAUAAUGCUUACUGGGCUUAAUUUAUGAUCCUAGGGUUUUCAUAGUAGGAUAAGAAUAAAUAAAUGGCACACAGUAGAAUGAUCUUUUGGUGGGGAGGUAGGAACUGUCAAUAGAGCACGUUGCUGUUCAGGAUCAGGGGUCUUCAUGAACCUGGCCUCCCACCUCAUUAUGAGGUCACAAGAUGCUUGGUCAUUCAUUGGAUAGAAUGGAGAUGAACCCUUAUCCUCUGAGGUGGAGCAUAUUAAACCAGAAACUAGCAGGGGCUUAACAGUCAACUCUUAGCACUAAAGCCAAAAAGGGCAAACAUUCUGUGUUUAAUGAUCAGGAGCUCCUCAUCUUUACUUCUGUGACAGAGGCAGAGACUGGCAGCCCUUCACGUUUGGGAAGUCUCCUGAGUACUUCACUGUUGUUGAAAUGGCUCGAUAGGAUAGAAACUCCUGCUAGUGCUCAGAAAAUGAUACCACCAAGUAUGGUGCUUUGGCAUGUUGAGUAUCUUGCUUAAGAGCAUUGAAAAGGCCUCAGCUAUCAAUUCCAGCUUCCUGCUGAUGCAGACUCUAGGAGGCAGUAGAUGCACAAGUACUAUCUGAAUUUUGGCAAUGAGUUAAAACCACCCAUCUGCUAUCAUUAGGCAAUUGAUGCCACACUGAUAUGAGCUCUGUGAAGAUUAUCCAAAAAAUGAGCAGUAGUGAUGUGAAGCAAAUUAUCUACAACAAUCCCACUAAAACAUCAAAAUAUGUAUACUUGGAGAAUAUCGGAGAAGCUAAACAAGAAUUGUUAACAGUAUUUAUGUUGAGUUGGGGUGGAAGAGACCAGCCAUGCGAGGGAAAUGAUCAUCAGGACAAUGAAGGAGAUGGAGACGAACACAACCGAGAUACUCCAACCACAUCCCCCCUGUUAUUGGACAGUCUGAAGCAGAUACGGCAUCCUUCUUGAACCUGAAUUAUGUGGAACGCAUGUCUCUCCAUGCUGUGCUGUUCAGAGUUUGCAAGGGGGAAAGGAUGUGGACAACUCUUUCCUUUUUGCUUUCUUCAAGCAUACUUUCUUAUUACCAAUUAAAUACAGGCAUUAUGGACUUUCACUUGGUUUUCCCAGUUCUUCUACAGUUUUCAACAAUUUGUUUCUGGCAGUCUUUGAAUAGCAGAGGUGAGAAUCCAUUAAAAUGUUCGAUGUUGCUGUGGAUUUGUUCUGAGAGGAGGACUGCGAUCGAGGCAAGAAGUACAGAGUCACAACAUAGACACUGGGAGUCAGGUGAAAGCAGGCUAGAGGAGCUCGCAGACUCAUUUAUUUCAGUUGGUGCAGCAGCUUAUAUAUCCGAGGCAGCCAAUCUGGUCAAGGGGUGGUUUAUGCCAUAAACAAUCACUUCCUUUGCUAGGCAAGCUCCUUUGCCAGGUGGGUUCCACUGCCAUUUCCCGAGUAACUGACGCUUGCUCACCAGUGCCAUCUUGGCACGGUCUUCUCAUUCCAUCACAGUUCUAUUUGGAAAAAUUCCUUUUUAAAGGUCAAUUGUAGUUUGCUAUUUUGAUUUUUAGGAGCUGGGAAUCCCCACACAGCUUUCCCUAUAGUAAGAUUAUAUG